AUUUAAAUAGCUUAAAGUUAGAGUGUAAUAUUGAAGAUAUUAAGGUAGUGAAGAUUUUUAAAUA
rnacentral:tRNA from 1 species